rnacentral:rRNA from 1 species
AACGAACGCUGGCGGCAGGCUUAACACAUGCAAGUCGAACGGGUGUAGCAAUACAUCAGUGGCAGACGGGUGAGUAACACGUGGGAACCUUCCUAGGGGUACGGAACAACUCAGGGAAACUUGAGCUAAUACCGUAUACGUCCGUGAGGAGAAAGAUUUAUCGCCCUUAGACGGGCCCGCGUCGGAUUAGCUAGUUGGUGGGGUAACGGCCUACCAAGGCGACGAUCCGUAGCUGAUCUUAGAGGAUGAUCAGCCACACUGGGACUGAGACACGGCCCAGACUCCUACGGGAGGCAGCAGUGGGGAAUCUUGGACAAUGGGCGCAAGCCUGAUCCAGCCAUGCCGCGUGUGUGAAGAAGGUCUUCGGAUUGUAAAGCUCUUUUGCCAGGGACGAUAAUGACGGUACCUGGAGAAUAAGCCCCGGCAAACUUCGUGCCAGCCGCCGCAGUAA